CAAGGUUUCUGUAGGUGAACCUGCAGAAGGAUCAUUAGUGAAAGCAAGGGCCAGCCAUACGGACGGCGCUACUCGCGUACAACGUCUCUGGCGCCCAACUUUACACAAUAUCCACAAACCCGUGUGCACCGUUUGGAUGAGUUGGACCUCGCAAGAGGCUCGGCUCUCCAAUCCAUUUCUACCAAACUCGUAUGGUUUGUAUGAACGUGGAAAUCGUUGGACCGUAACUGGCCAACAACCAAUAAUACAACUUUCGACAACGGAUCUCUUGGUUCUCCCAUCGAUGAAGAACGCAGCGAAACGCGAUAGGUAAUGUGAAUUGCAGAAUUCCGUGAAUCAUCGAAUCUUUGAACGCACCUUGCGCUCCAUGGUAUUCCGUGGAGCAUGCCUGUUUGAGUGCCGUGAAUUCUCUCUCCCCAAGCGGUUGCGAUUGCACUGCUUUGGCGGACGAGGUUGGAUGGGUGCUUCUGCCUGUUUCGCAAGAAACAGGCUCGCCCGAAAUGCAUUAGCGCCUUUGGGACACACUCUGCAAACCGCUCUGAAAGGGAGGGCGGCAGAGGGGAUGGAGGAACUCCGCCCGUCAGCUAUACCAAACUUUGCCCCAGGCAAGCGCAUGGCAUGAUACGUCAUUUGCUGUGUGUGCGUCCUGAGGCAAGGGGCCGAUGUGGUGCCUUUGUCACUCUGUGGGUGUGUUGGUGCGCUACCAAUCCUGCGUGGAGGCUGGUCUGUGCGCAAGCAUGGAGCAGUUCUUGUGAACGCAUUCCCUUUUUUCAUUUCUGGUCUCAAAUCAGGUAGGAUCACCCGCUGAACUUAAGCAUAUCAAUAA
rnacentral:rRNA from 1 species